ACGGAAGGCAGCAGUAGGGAAUAUUGCACAAUGGGGGGAACCCUGAUGCAGCAACGCCACGUGUGGGAAGAAGCAUUUCGGUGUGUAAACCACUGUCGUGAGGGAAUAAUGCUUGGCUCCGGCCAAGUUGAAUGUACCUCGAAAGGAAGCACCGGCAAACUUCGUGCCAGCAGCCGCGGUAAUACGAGGGGUGCAAGCGUUGUUCGGAAUCACUGGGCGUAAAGGGAGCGCAGGCGGAAGUGCAAGCGGUCUGUACAAUCCCUGGGCUCAACCCCGGACCUGCAGACCGGACUGCAUUUCUUGGAUAGUUCAGGGGCAAGCGGAAUUCCUGGUGUAGCGGUGGAAUGCGUAGAGAUCAGGAAGAACACCGGUGGCGAAGGCAGCUUGCUGGGGACUUAUCGACGCUCAUGCUCGAAAGUGCGGGUAGCAAACAGGAUUAGAUACCCUGGUA
rnacentral:rRNA from 1 species